rnacentral:rRNA from 1 species
CCUACGGGGGGCAGCAGUGAGGAAUAUUGGUCAAUGGGCGCGAGCCUGAACCAGCCAAGUAGCGUGAAGGAUGAAUGUCCUACGGGUUGUAAACUUCUUUUAUCAAGGAAUAAAGUGAGGCACGCGUGCCUUUUUGUAUGUACUUUAUGAAUAAGGAUCGGCUAACUCCGUGCCAGCAGCCGCGGUAAUACGGAGGAUCCGAGCGUUAUCCGGAUUUAUUGGGUUUAAAGGGAGCGUAGAUGGGUUGUUAAGUCAGUUGUGAAAGGUUGGGGCUCAACCGUAAAAUUGCAGUUGAAACUGGCAGCCUUGAGUACAGUUGAGGUAGGCGGAAUUCGUGGUGUAGCGGUGAAAGGCUUAGAUAUCACGAAGAACUCCGAUUGCGAAGGCAGCCUGCUAAGCUGCCACUGACAUUGAGGCACGAAAGUGUGGGUAUCAAACAGGAUUAGAUACCCGAGUAGUC